CUGGGAUUGGCUGACCUUGCAGCCUUCCCUGCUGCCGCCUCCACAGCUGCUCCCAGGAGAGGCCUGUAGGACAGGAGAAAUGUGUGGCCAAGGCAGGCUUUAAAGAGGGCUUUGGGAGCUAAGGGACAGUGGUUGGAAUUUUCAUUCCUGAGGCUAUUUUAAUUGUGGGUAAUACAGACAGCAGUAGCAUCUAAGUGAAGUGCUUUAACUCUAUCAGUGGAGGUCUGGAAGCAUAUAAUCAAAUCUUCACCAAGGGCUCUGCUGCCCUUCUAAGGAGCAUCCACAAACAUUAUUCCACAAUGCAAAUUCUGAGCAGUGACAAGAGAACACAAGCUGUGUCCCUAAGACUCAACUAUCAAUGUUAUUGAGGCUGGCCUGGAAUUUGCAGUGAUCCUUCUGCCUCAGCUUCCUGAGAUUACCUCCUGCGAUAACAGAAUGAAGUGGGGGGCCAAGGCGUCCGACCCCGAGGCCCACCUGCAAGGCUGUGCAGCAUCCUACCUGCCCAGUUGGAGGGGUGUGAGAAGGCCUUGCUGCUCUGCACUACCUUCAUGGCCUCUCCCAGAGCAGCACUGGCCUUCAGGCCAUUCAGCAGAGAUGAGUAGAAGGCGUGGAUGAACAUCUUGGAAGCCGCCACUGGCACUGGCCACAGAGACACAAGGACACACUGUGCGCCAGCAGCCAGGAAGGCUCGUGUCAGUGCCACCACCCCAUCUGCGGUGACCCUGCUGUUGGCCUCCUGGGAGGAGCCAAGUACCACGAGCUUCACGGGCAGCCGCAGGUCCAGGAGGUCAGCGGCUGUGAGCAGCAGCUCCCGCAGAGGCGGGCAGUCUGAGAUACUCUCGCCAUCACUGGCAUCGUCCUGUACGCGCAGGGACUCAGACACCUGACUCAACAGAGAUUUAUACCUGCUGUGAAGAGCACUUAAGAAUAACCAGGAUGGGACAGGAGAGGAGACCCUUCCUGUGGGCCAUCUCGAGAUGGCUGGGAAAGAGGUACUGCAGGGACAGAGUCCUGGGUGUGACUGAAUGGAUUUACUGAAAACAGAGGCCCCACCCUGAGUGUGGACAGACAGGAUAAAAGAUGGAACGCAGGGUGCUGCUGCUUGCUGCUUUGCUGUCUCCUGCCUGCCGUGCCAUGGACUGCUUCACCUAUUUGAUGCCCUUCUGCUGUACCACCUUGCCUUGGAGACAGCUGAUUAUGGUCUGAAACCUCUACAAAAUGUUAGCUGAAAUAAAUCUUUGCUCC